rnacentral:rRNA from 1 species
CACGUAGGGCGCAAGCGUUGUCCGGAAUUAUUGGGCGUAAAGAGCUCGUAGGUGGUUUGUUACGUCUGCUGUGAAAUCCUAGGGCUUAACCCUGGGCUUGCAGUGGAUACGGGCAGACUAGAGUGCGGUAGGGGAGAAUGGAAUUCCCGGUGUAGCGGUGAAAUGCGCAGAUAUCGGGAGGAACACCGGUGGCGAAGGCGGUUCUCUGGGCCUGUACUGACGCUGAGGAGCGAAAGCGUGGGGAGCGAACAGG